AUGUUCACUUUGGCAGCACAAGUACUAAAAUGGGAAUGAUACAGAGAACAGUAGCAUGGCCCCUGCACAAGGAUGACAUAUAAAUUCAUGAAGUGUUCCAUAUUUUC
rnacentral:snRNA from 1 species